rnacentral:rRNA from 1 species
UACGGGAGGCAGCAGUGGGGAAUAUUGCACAAUGGGCGCAAGCCUGAUGCAGCCAUGCCGCGUGUAUGAAGAAGGCCUUCGGGUUGUAAAGUACUUUCAGUCGUGAGGAAGGUGUUAAGGUUAAUAACCUUAGCAAUUGACGUUAGCGACAGAAGAAGCACCGGCUAACUCCGUGCCAGCAGCCGCGGUAAUACGGAGGGUGCGAGCGUUAAUCGGAAUUACUGGGCGUAAAGGGCACGCAGGCGGUUAAUUAAGUUGGAUGUGAAUCCCCGGGCGUUAACCUGGGAAUGGCAUUCAAGACUGGUUAGCUAGAGUCUUGUAGAGGGGGUAGGAAUUCCAUGUGUAGCGGUGAAAUGCGUAGAGAUGUGGAGGAAUACCGGUGGCGAAGGCGGCCCCUGGACAAGACUGACGCUCAUGUGCGAAGCGUGGGGAGCAAACAGGGAUUAGAUACC